rnacentral:tRNA from 1 species
GGGCCUAUAGUAUAGUGGCUAAUACACCGCAUUUGCAAUGCGGAGACGUGAGUUCGAUUCUCACUAGGUCCACCA